rnacentral:misc_RNA from 1 species
CCUCCAGCGACGGAUGACGAAACAGAUGCAUUGCGGUACGUCAAAACAUCUUUUAAAAUGGACGAUUUUAUUUUUAUUUUGAUGGCAUAGUCGUUAAGUUGUUUACCGAUUUCGCAGCAGAAAUGGCUGAAAGAAACGAAAAAAUGUUGUGUGAACUCAUGAAGUUGCCGGGAAAUAGUGUCUGUGCUGAUUGUGGAUCAAGAAAUCCCGAGUAUGCUUCCUACAAUAUAGGAAUUUUUAUUUGUGCUCGUUGCUCUGGAGUGCAUCGGCAAAUGGGAGUACACAUAAGUAAAGUCAAGCAUUUAAAGUUGGAUCGCUGGGAAGACUCCCAAGUGGAACGGAUGAGGGAAGUGGGAAACGUUAGAGCCAAAAUGAAAUUUGAAGAAAGAGUGCCUCCGUGUUAUAGGAUACCAAAAGAAGAUGAUCCUCAAGUUUUAGUGGAGCAAUGGAUUCGAGCAAAGUACCAAAGGGGCGAGUUCUGUUACCCAGAGCGUCAAUUAUACGUGAGCGGUGAUUUUUCCGGAUUUUUAAUGAAAAGAGGCAAAGAGGACAGUCGGUUUCGUUCAAGAAAAUUUGUGUUGUCGGAAAGUGAUGAUACUUUGAAAUACUACAUAGUGGAGAAUAGGGAACCUAAAGCGGUGCUGAGAGUAUCUGAACUGAAUGUCAUUUUUGCGCCUCAAAAAAUGAGUUUAUAUCCAAACUCGUUACAGAUUAGUUAUCUCAAGGAUGGUACCACUCGACAUAUUUACGUAUACCAUUCCGAAGGUGAAGUAAUAACCAAUUGGUAUAUGGCAAUUAGAUGUGCCAAACUACACAGGCUUCAGGUUGCAUAUCCCUCAGCUAGCGAGUCUGAACUUGUACAAUUUCUAACAGAAGAUUUUGCGAAAGAGGGCUGGUUGUGGAAAACUGGACCCAAAGUAUCUGAUGGGUUCAAAAAGAGAUGGUUUGCAUUAGACAACCGAAAGUUGAUGUAUCAUGACGAGCCUAUGGAUGCGAACCCUAAAGGAGAAAUUUUCAUUGGUCAUAUGGCUGACGGAUAUUGCAUGAACAUGGGCGUUUCUACUGGUGUAAGAGAUCAAGGAUUUUCGUUUAAAUUGACAACGCCCGAUAGAAUCUAUAAUCUAUCGGCUCAGUCUGAAAUUGACCGAGAUCACUGGAUAGAAGUUUUGGAACGGGUGAUUGAGCGACCUCUUACGGCGCAAGAUAUUGCAGUUUCAGCACGACUUGUACGAAAGAGGACGAAUACAAACUCCAUCAGUAUAUUUUCUCCUAGGUAGUUUCUAAUGAUUGUAGACGGCAUUUUGCCUUUUGCUAGCCUAGUCCUGUACUACAUCAUGUGUACCUUAUGGUAUCGUAUCAUGCACAUCUCAUUGGCAAAUACUCAAAACCAAAACAGAGAUCUCAUCAAAGUCUAUAUCUCGUUUAAAACCCACGUGUAAAAUGGUUCGAAUUUCGAAGAUCUACAAAAUGAUGUCCAAAUUGCCUUUUAAAAAUCUUAUUUACAAACUUGCCCACAUUAAAGGAGCCCACAGCGAUAGUUUGUCCGGUUGGUUUUACCGAAUCUACACGAUGUUUUAUUAAGCUUAAGUUAUUAACCCUUACUGUAGUUAUCUGAAAGCCUUCGUGAGGCAUGUUAUUUAAAAAGUGGGUAGCUAACAAUUAUAAUACAUAAUUGGCACAUUCAUUUCUACAUUGAUAUGAAACAAUUCUGUUUAUUUUAAGCAAAUCAUAGAUAGAGUGCCCAACAACCGACAAAUAAAUUAUUUUAGUAUAGUUUUUCUUAAAUUAUCAUACAGUUCAAACUUUCUGUAGUACAAUGUUAAUGUUACCACUUUUAUAAGUUUGUAUUUAUUAUAUUUUUGUGUGUGAAAUUUCGCAACAUGCGGUUAAAUAUUAAUGAAAAUAGGCGAAAAGGAAACACAGUUAAAGAUUACACAUAACACUUUACUACUAAGGAUACUUCUAAAAAUGUCAUGUAAGAACAGCAAAUUUCAAAUUUCCUUUGUUAAUUUUAUAACUGACCAAAAUUAUGUUCUACAUGUUCUCAGAAUCAAUCAUUAUUUGGAUAAUAACUUUUUGUGGCCGCUAAGUUUGAUAAAUCCUAUACAUGAAUAGUUUGACUAAUACGUUUUCGAGUUACAAUUCGCCUUUAGAAUCUAUCCCAUACUGUUUUAUUUUUAUGUAGUAUCCUGAUUGAUUUUCUAUGUUUACCUUUCUAACUAAUUUUAGUACUUCACAUACUGAUAUUAUCAUCGCUUCGUAUAAACCUUAAACCGGAUUAUAGUUUACUUUGAUAAAGUCGCACAUAUUUUGUUCGUUCUCCUUUCCGCAUUCAGUUUCAUCUAGUUAUCCUCAGUUGUUUUUAUAUUAUUCAGAUAUGUACUUACAUCUAAGAAGACAUUGUUCAGUUAAAUCAACUAGGCCCCUGAAGCAUUUUUAUUUACUCAUCUUUUUCAGCCACAUUUUCAAAGCAACCACUUCGAAUUUCAUUAUUUGAUCGUUUCCACAAAAAUUUAUGAAACACAUUUAAACGCUUGCAUCCCAAAUUAGAUAAAUGCGCGGAUUCUGAAAUAUGACUAAAAUGUAUUUCCGUUUUAUUAUUUUCGUACAUUCAGGAAAUCUGUUUCACGAUUUUUUAUUUCUUCAUUCGCAUAAAUAGCUAGCUUGUCUGGUUUUAUAAACUUGUCAAUCUGAAUGUAUGUGAUUUAUCCAGAAUGCUUCUAAUGAUACCGACUAAAAGUGGGUGUUCAGAAAUUAUUUAAUAAUUUUAAACAUAAUAUUACAGUAGUUUCUAACUUGAUUGCCUAAAUCAUUUGCGAGAUUUUAGUGGCGUGUGUAGAGUUUUUCUGUAAAGGUAUCGAUGAUUAAAAUGAAGUUGCAGCAUAUCUGUUCAGCAAAGUUUUAUUUUGAUAGAGAACUUGAGUUAACUGAUCAUCGAUGGAGUUUCAAAUAUAAUUCCUGUUUUAUCGUGAAUAAUUUAUGUAUAAAUGAAUUCAACUUCAUUUUUCUUCGACGCGUUGAGUGGACGUGAACCCACCAUUUGAGAAAAACUGAUCCUGAUGUGCAUAAACAUAACGUUUUAGUUUUACUGGUAUAGACUCAACGCCAACAAACUGUUCAUCACUAUAUUUGUACAUAUUAAAUAGGUAGACAUCAAAGUACAUUAUAGGAAGGAAGCAAAAUCGUAUUUACUAUUUACCAAUUACAUAACUUCAUUAUUUAUAUUCCAUAUUUUGUAUCUAGUUUAUAUAAUCGAGGCUGUUCAAAGUGCGCAUCAUGGCACUUACGUUUAAGAGUCUGCCGUUCAAUAAAGCAAUUUGUAGAAA